AUUGAACGCUGGCGGCAUGCCUUACACAUGCAAGUCGAACGGUAACGGGCCUUCGGGUGCCGACGAGUGGCGAACGGGUGAGUAAUGUAUCGGAACGUACCUUUCAGUGGGGGAUAACGUAGCGAAAGUUACGCUAAUACCGCAUAUUCUGUGAGCAGGAAAGCAGGGGAUCGCAAGACCUUGCGCUGAUUGGGCGGCCGAUAUCGGAUUAGCUAGUUGGUGAGGUAACGGCUCACCAAGGCGACGAUCUGUAGCGGGUCUGAGAGGAUGAUCAGCCACCCUGGAACUGAGACACGGUCCUGGCUCCUCCGGGAGGCAGCAGUGGGGAAUUUUGGACAAUGGGGGCAACCCUGAUCCAGCCAUGCCGCGUGAGUGAAGAAGGCCUUCGGGUUGUAAAGCUCUUUCGGCCGGGAAGAAAUCGUAUCAGCUAAUACCUGGUGCGGAUGACGGUACCGGCAUAAGAAGCACCGGCUAACUACGUGCCAGCAGCCGCCGUAACAC
rnacentral:rRNA from 1 species